GACGAACGCUGGCGGCGUGCUUAACACAUGCAAGUCGAACGGAAAGGCCCUGCUUGCAGGGUACUCGAGUGGCGAACGGGUGAGUAACACGUGGGUGAUCUGCCCUGCACUUCGGGAUAAGCCUGGGAAACUGGGUCUAAUACCGGAUAGGAGCCAUUUUUAGUGUGAUGGUUGGAAAGUUUUUUCGGUGUAGGAUGAGCUCGCGGCCUAUCAGCUUGUUGGUGGGGUAAUGGCCUACCAAGGCGGCGACGGGUAGCCGGCCUGAGAGGGUGGACGGCCACAUUGGGACUGAGAUACGGCCCAGACUCCUACGGGAGGCAGCAGUGGGGAAUAUUGCACAAUGGGCGCAAGCCUGAUGCAGCGACGCCGCGUGGGGGAUGACGGCCUUCGGGUUGUAAACUCCUUUCGCUAGGGACGAAGCUUUUUGUGACGGUACCAAGAGAAGAAGCACCGGCUAACUACGUG
rnacentral:rRNA from 1 species